rnacentral:rRNA from 1 species
AGAGUUUGAUCCUGGCUCAGGACGAACGCUGGCGGCGUGCCUAACACAUGCAAGUCACGGGGGGUAGCAAUACCAACCGGCGAACGGGUGCGGAACACGUGAGCAAUCUACCGAUUACUGGGGGAUAGCCGGCCCAACGGCCGGGUAAUACCGCAUACGCUCAAGAGGGGACAUCCCCAUUUGAGGAAACCUCCGGGGUAAUCGAGGAGCUCGCGUCUUAUCAGCUAGUUGGUGAGGUAACGGCUCACCAAGGCUACGACGGGUAGCUGGUCUGAGAGGAUGGCCAGCCACAUUGGGACUGCGACACGGCCCAGACUCCUACGGGAGGCAGCAGUGGGGAAUAUUGCGCAAUGGACGAAAGUCUGACGCAGCGACGCCGCGUGUGGGAUGAAGCUCUUCGGGGUGUAAACCACUGUUGCCCGGGACGAAUAUCCUUUUUUGAAAGGAUUGACGGUACCGGGUGAGGAAGCACCGGCUAACUCUGUGCCAGCAGCCGCGGUAAUACAGAGGGUGCGAGCGUUGUCCGGAAUCACUGGGCGUAAAGGGCGCGUAGGUGGCUUGUUAAGCGUGUGGUGAAAGCCUGGGGCUCAACCCCAGGUCUGCCGUGCGAACUGGCAAGCUUGAGCGUAGUAGAGGCAGGUGGAAUUUCGGGUGUAGCGGUGGAAUGCGUAGAUAUCCGAAAGAACACCGGUGGCGAAGGCGGCCUGCUGGGCUACUGCUGACACUGAUGCGCGACAGCGUGGGGAGCAAACAGGAUUAGAUACCCUGGUAGUCCACGCCGUAAACGAUGGGUACUAGGCGUCUGGGGGAGCGACCCCCUGGGUGCCGGCGCUAACGCAUGAAGUACCCCGCCUGGGGAGUACGGCCGCAAGGCUGAAACUCAAAGGAAUUGACGGGGGCCCGCACAAGCGGUGGAGCAUGUGGUUUAAUUCGACGCAACGCGAAGAACCUUACCUGGGUUUGACAUGCUGGAGAAAGCCCUCAGAAACGGGGGCCCCUCUUCGGAGUUCCAGCACAGAUGCUGCAUGGCUGUCGUCAGCUCGUGUCGUGAGAUGUUGGGUUAAGUCCCGCAACGAGCGCAACCCUCAUCCCUAGUUACCAGCGGGUAAAGCCGGGAACUCUAGGGGGACUGCCGGUGCCAAACCGGACGAAGGUGGGGACGACGUCAAGUCAUCAUGGCUCUUACAUCCAGGGCUACACACGUGCUACAAUGGGCCAGACAAAGGGUCGCCAACCCGCGAGGGGGAGCCAAUCCCAUAAACUGGUCCUCAGUUCGGAUUGCAGUCUGCAACUCGACUGCAUGAAGCUGGAAUCGCUAGUAAUCGUGGAUCAGCUACGCCACGGUGAAUACGUUCCCGGGCCUUGUACACACCGCCCGUCACGCCAUGGAAGCUGUGAGUGCCCGAAGUCCGUGCAGGAACCCGCAAGGGGCCGAGCGGCCGAAGGCAAGCGCAGUGACUGGGGCGAAGUCGUAACAAGGUA